rnacentral:rRNA from 1 species
UUGAAAGGGAAACGAUUGAAGUCAGUCGUACCUGUGGGUAAUCAGCCUUUUGGGUGUGAUUUUGUGGAGUGUGAGGAGUUAAACGCCUUCAUGCCUGCAUAUUCGUGCACUUUGGGUGUAUUUACCCGUGUGGUAAGUUAACAUCAAUUUCGGUGGUCAUAAAAUGGCUGGAGGAAUGUAGCUUCGAUCUCGUAUUGAAGUGUUAUAGCCCUCGGUAGAUGUGAUAAUCGGGAUUGAGGAUUGCAACGGAUACCCUUCGGGGCUACCUGUCUGAUCUCUGAUCGUUGCUCUGGUGCCGAAAGCUUGCUUACGGUUAUCAAAGUCGAUGGUCAAUAGGUUAGUAUGGGUUAAAUUCGUUAAGGAUGUUGACGUA